rnacentral:rRNA from 1 species
UACGUAGGGUGCAAGCGUUAAUCGGAAUUACUGGGCGUAAAGCGUGCGCAGGCGGUUUUGUAAGUCUGUCGUGGAAUCCCCCGGGCUCAACCUGGGAAUGGCGAUGGAGACUGCAAGGCUAGAAUCUGGCAGAGGGGGGGUAGAAUUCCACGUGUAGCAGUGAAAUGCGUAGAUAUGUGGAGGAACACCGAUGGCGAAGGCAGCCCCCUGGGGCUAAGAUUGACGCUCAUGCACGAAAAGCGUGGGGAGCAAACAGGG